rnacentral:lncRNA from 1 species
CGGCACUGCAGCUGAGGACCCCCGCGUUCCCUAGCAACGCCCCAAACCUGCGGAGGCGACUCCUGCACCCGCCGGGCCCACGCUGGGGGUAGGCGAGGGGAGACGCGCCUCGCCGGGCUUCUUCCUGAACAGGGUUUCUCUCCUUCCUCCGUGAAAAAGGAUCCCGAGGUGGAGUCACGGUGGAGGAACUCAGAAGCUCUUUGCUGCAGCCCAGUGGCCGCCGGCGGAACCUGACGGGGCUCGAGGCCCGGGCGGGACAGGGCCAGGCCGUGAGCGUGCCCUUUAUCCCCCACAGCCGUGAGUUUGGGGGCAUCUGUCCCCCUUCGCAGGAGGAGACCAGCUUCCCUCUCCACAUGCUCCCAGCAUGAUCCACUGCCCUACCACAGUACUGAAAGCAACACAACCAACUAUUCUUGGACUAAAGCCUCCAAAACUAUGAUUUAAAAUAAAGCUUUCCUCCUUUGAAGUUCAUUGUCUCAG